CAAUUGCUCAUAUCACAAGCUCUACUGACGCCUCUUUGCGUUUUCUCUGGACAGUUUGUUCCAUCCAUAAUGUCCGACAAGCCGGCCGGGUGUUACAGAUAGAAGUCUCGUGCAGAGAGACUCCAGCCCUCGCUGGGUUCUGUCAUUCGAGUCUUCGUUUUCUGAAGAGGAAGCGAAGUAGCCUGUUUAGUGAAGAGAGAAUCAAGGUCUUCACUCUGCCUCUUGAAAGAAAGGAGCUAACCUGUCACCUAGCAACACCUCCCACUCCUGCUGAAGCCAGAGGAAGAGGAAGGAUUGAAGCUGUCUAUGAAACCGAUAAGAGAAACAGAGUCAGGCUUGUGCUAAUGAGGCUGCAGAGAGGUGGACAGCUGCUCAGUAGGGUUCCAGUCUAUCCCGUGGUUAGAUGAGUCAAAGAUCGGAAGGGUGGGUGGAAGGAUUAAGCACGGCACUUAAAAGGCAUGAGGCCCAACGUAGAUGGUCAAGCGCAGGACAGAACUGGUGUGGUAGCUCACGAGCGGG